rnacentral:lncRNA from 1 species
GAAGCACCAAACGAGGCAAUGAUGCCAAGGACAAUGUGUUAGGGCUCUCCAGAGAAACAAAACCAACAGGAGAGAGAGAGACAGAAAUAGAGAGAGAAAGGGAGAGAUUUAUUAUGAAGAACUAGGUCAUGUCAUUACAGGGGCUGGGAAGUUCCACAGUCCACCAUCGGCCAGCUAGAGACCCAGGAUUACCUGUUGUGUAGCUCCAGUCUGAGCUAGAGGCCUGAGAACCGGCAGAAUUGAUGGUGUAAGUCCCAGUCCAAGUACAGGAGAAGACCGAUGUCCUGGCUUGACAGCAGUCAGGCAGAGAGAACAAUGCUCCCUUACCCCACCUUUUGUCCUAUUCAGGCCUCAGUGGCUUCGAGGAGGCCCACCCACUCUGGGGAGGGACAACUGCCUUGCUCAGUCUACAGAUUCACGUGUUAAUCUCAUCCAGAAAGACCCUCACAGACACACCUAGAAUAACGUUUGACCUAACAUCUGGGCACCUAAUGGCUCAGUCAAGUUGACACUUAAAAUUAACCAUCACAGACAAUAAAAGAGCCUUUUUAAACAUCAAGAAGAGGAGAGGGACAGACUCAUGCUUGGUGGCACGGUGACGACCAGUAUGCGAUAGGAAGGGAGACAGAUCUGGGGCAGGCAGAGAGGGCUGAAGCUGGAGUCUCCCCUGGGUUCCCAACUACUGACAGGACCAUGCGGAAGCCAGAGAUGUGACAGAAGGCAGGAGAAAAGGAGGCUGUAUUCUGUAGAAGCUGCGCUGGAAACGUCUUCCAGAACAGGACCC